rnacentral:rRNA from 1 species
UAGUCAUAUGCUUGUCUCAAAGAUUAAGCCAUGCAGGUCUAAGUAUGAGCUGAACUAAAGUGAAACCGCGAAUGGCUCAUUACAUCAGUUAUGGUUCCUUAGAUCUUCGGUAUCCUACUUGGAUAACCCUGGAAAUUCUAGAGCUAAUACAUGCGAAAGAAGCUGCCAAUCCCGCAAGGGAGAGGGAGCGUUUUUGUUAGACCAGAACCAAUCGGGGGCACUCUGAAGGAUGGGGUAAAACCCAAACUUUUUGUGUCCCUGUCCCCACUUGGUGAGUCUGAACAACUUUGAGCGGAUCGCACUGCCUCGAGCAGGCGACGACUCUUUCAAAUGUCUGCCUUAUCAACUUGAUGGUAGGUUAUGCGCCUACCAUGGUGAUAACGGGUAACGGAGAAUCAGGGUUCGAUGCCGGAGAGGGAGCCUGAGAGACGGCUACCACAUCCAAGGAAGGCAGCAGGCACGCAAAUUACCCACUCCCAGAACGGGGAGGUAGUGACGAAAAAUAACAAUACGGGACUCAUCCGAGGCCCCGUAAUUGGAAUGAGUACACUUUAAAUCCUUUAACAAGGAUCCAUUGGAGGGCAAGUCUGGUGCCAGCAGCCGCGGUAAUUCCAGCUCCAAUAGCGUAUAUUAAAGUUGCUGCGGUUAAAAAGCUCGUAGUUGGAUCUCAGUCUCGGGCCAGUGGUUCACCUCAUGGGUGUUUUAACUGCUGUGCCCAGGCCUUAUAUAUUGAAAAAUUUGUGGCCGGAUCCCACCCCAGGUGCCCUUCACUGGGUGCCCGGAAAGGUGGCCGGAGCGUUUACUUUGAAAAAAUUGGAGUGCUCAAAGCAGGCGUUUGAUGGCCUGAACAGUCGUGCAUGGAAUAAUGGAAAAGGGCUGCUUCGGCAAAACUUUCUUGAUUGAAAAAGCUUGUUGGUCUCUAGCCGAAUAGUGGUAAUGGUUGAAGGGGACAGACGGGGGCAUUCGUAUUGCGACGUUAGAGGUGAAAUUCUUAGAUCGUCGCAAGACGGACUACUGCGAAAGCAUUUGCCAAGAAUGUUUUCAUUAAUCAAGAACGAAAGUCAGAGGUUCGAAGGCGAUCAGAUACCGCCCUAGUUCUGACCUUAAACGAUGCCAACUGGCGAUCUGUCAGGGGUGUUUUUCAUUCCAUGACCUGACAGGCAGCUUCCGGGAAACCAAAGUCUUUGGGUUCCGGGGGAAGUAUGGUUGCAAAGCUGGAACUUAAAGGAAUUGACGGAAGGGCACCACCAGGAGUGGAGCCUGUGGCUUAAUUUGACUCAACACGGGGAAACUUACCAGGCCAGGACACUGGCAGGAUUGACAGAUUGAGAGCUCUUUCUUGAUUCGGUGGAUGGUGGUGCAUGGCCGUUCUUAGUUGGUGGAGUGAUUUGUCUGGUUAAUUCCGAUAACGAACGAGACUCUGGCCUGCUAAAUAAGGCGGCGGGUUCCCAACUCCACUCUGUGGCUGAGUGUGUCUUGGGCAUUUUCAUUUCUUCUUGUGGGGGAAAAAAAUGUGGGUUGGGGGGGGUGGGAGAGCAGCUUGCUGUUUUCUUUAUUCUCUCUGCUCCUUUUUCAAACUCAUGAGGGGUGUGGAGGUGUUCAGGGCAUAUCUUGGUUCAGGUGGGGCCGCCCGUCCUUUGCGCUUCUCUUCUUAGAGGGACAAGGCAGCUUCAAGCUGCGUGAAAUGGGGCAAUAACAGGUCUGUGAUGCCCUUAGAUGUUCUGGGCCGCACACGCGCUACACUGAGGGUGGCAGCGUGUCUUUGAUCCUGGCUCGAGAUGGGCCGGGUAACCCUGUCAAUCACCCUCGUGCUGGGGAUUGAGGUUUGCAAUUUUCCUUCAUGAACGAGGAAUUCCCAGUAGGUGCGAGUCAUCAGCUCGCGCCGACUACGUCCCUGCCCUUUGUACACACCGCCCGUCGCUACUACCGAUUGAAUGAUUUAGUGAGGGCCUCAGACUGAGGCCAGGGAAGCACCUUCGGGGGCUGCGCUGGCUCUUGGAAAGACGUCCAAACUGUAUCAUUUAGAGGAAGUAAAAGUCGUAACAAGGUUUCC